UUCCCCCCAAGAAGCCUUCUGCAGAGGCUGAGUCUGUUUAUCUGAGUGCAGGCGGAGGAUGAGUCACGAGGCUCACUGGGAACAGGAAGCCCAGAGCAGAGUCUGAUCCACAAAGGACGUCAGCGUCACCAGCCUCAGAGCAUUUGCGCUGGAGGGAGGCAGUGACAAGGCACAGGUGAUCCUGAAGUGUGCUCUGGGCAAACCUACCAAUCCAUCAAACUCACAGCCAGGAAGGGGAAGGGGAGAGGAGAGGCGGGGCAGUGUAGACCAUCUACACCUGGUGUCCAGUGGCCCAACCCUUGGGAGAAACUAUGGUGGGGAGCAGGGACUUGAAUCCAGGUUCUUAUACGUGAUAAUAUGUUGUGCCAGUGCCCAGCCCAAAAGAUGGAAGAACUGGUCUGUUCAUGGCCAGAACUGUGACUGGAAUUUCGAUGUAGGAUUUCCUGCACUGCCCUGUGCAUGGGCUCUGUAAAUGGGCCCUCAGUGCCCUGUAAGGAGCUCUUCAUGCAGUACUGCUUUAACGCCAAAUUAAAUGUUAAUAAAGCAAGUGCCCCCUGAA